UUGAAGCAUGUCUUUACCGAUGCGCUCCAACUCUAGGUCAUUGCAGGUCCUAUUGGAUCCAAAUGCACAUGAUUUGAAGAACUCCCAAAAAACAACAUCUUGCAAACCCUCCAACUCGUAGCUCUUCAUGCCAGCACAGACUAGAUUAGCAACCUCAUAAAAUCUAGUGGUGACCAAAAUCAUACUUCCUUGAAGGGCAUUUCUCAAAGGUAUGCAAAAUUUGCCCCACUCCGCGCCACCAUUUCUCAAUGUAUCACCCCACAUGUCAUCAAGGACAAGUAACAACUUCUUAGAUUCUACAGAACAAGCCAGUUUUCUCACGAGAUUAUUCAGAUUAUCAGAUAUUGUAUCUUGUUCCAUCUGCUCCAGAAUCUCUUUAAUUAACCUCUUUGCGUCAACAUCAUCAGAAACACAAGUCCAAAUUAUGCAGUCAAAGUGCUCCUGCACUUCUGCAUCAUCACAGAUUUGUUGUGCAAUAGUUGUUUUUCCGACACCCCCCAUACCAAAUAUGGGAA
rnacentral:rRNA from 1 species